UACGGGGGGGCAAGCGUUGUUCGGAAUUACUGGGCGUAAAGGGCGCGUAGGCGGCUCGCUAAGUCGGAUGUGAAAACUCUGGGCUCAACCCAGAGCCUGCAUUCGAAACUGACGAGCUGGAGUUCUGGAGGGAAAGCGGAAUUCCUGGUGGUAGCGGGUGAAAUGACUGUAGAUAUCAAGGAGGAACACCGGUGGCGAAGGCGGCAUUUCUGGGACAGAAACUGACGCUGAUGCGCGAAAGCUAGGGGAGCAAACAGG
rnacentral:rRNA from 1 species